ACCACCUAUAAAUAACUACAGUUGUAACUGUUUUCAAACAGAAUAACAAUUAUAAUUUAUCCUUACCAAAUCUCUCUCACCUCGCUCUCUCACACUCACUCUCCCCUUCUCCCUCCUUGUUAUUCACCAUUCCCGCAUCUUCAUCUACCCAAAAGCUCCUUCAUCAACAAUGGAGGCUCAGAGAUGAAAUCCUAAAAAAUCGGUGGCCAAUCAUCAUUGUAGCCAUCCCAAUCUACUCAAUUCGGAACCAAAUCUAGCUCAGAUCUACUCAGUAAUUUUCCAAAUUCUCACCAUAGCCGACUAGAUCUCCAGAUCAUCGAUAGUUGCUACU
rnacentral:lncRNA from 1 species